GGUUUCCCUUUACGAAUUGUAGUUUAAAGAAGUGUUUUCUGUUGAGGUUUUGGUAAAAGUUCUUUGGAAUAGGACAUCAUAGAGGGUGAGAAUCCCGUAUUUGACCUUUACUUUCAACUUUGUGAUACACUUUCAAAGAGUCGGAUUGUUUGGGAAUGCAGUCCAAAAUGGGUGGUAAACUUCAUCUAAAGCUAAAUAUUGGCGAGAGACCGAUAGCGAACAAGUACCGUGAGGGAAAGAUGAAAAGAACUUUGAAAAGAGAGUUAAACAGUACGUGAAAUUGUCAAAAGGGAAGCGUUUGACACCAGUGUUGUUUUUCUGAAAAUCAAUUAAAGAACUGUUUAUGCUAAGUUGUUUAGACUUUAUCAGCUAACUGUUUAGUUUUGAGCUUUUCUUU
rnacentral:rRNA from 1 species